AUGGUGAUGCCGAUGGCGGGCGCCGGCGACGCCCCGGACACGGAGGCGAGGAGGCCCCUCAUCGCCAGGAGGCACAAGGACGGCGAGGACGACGGCCUGGACGACGGCGACGCCUCCUUCUCCGGCGCGGUGUUCAACCUGUCCACCACCAUCGUGGGCGCGGGCAUCAUGGCGCUCCCGGCCACCAUGCGGGUGCUGGGCCUCGUCCCGGGCCUCACCCUGGUGGUGCUGGCCGCCGUGCUCACGGACGCCUCCAUCGAGCUGCUCAUGCGGUUCAGCAACGCCGUGGGCGCCGCGUCCUACGGCGAGGCCAUGGGCGACGCCUUCGGGGCGCUCGGCAGGGGGCUCCUCCAGUUCUGCGUCGUCGUCAACAACAUCGGCGUGAUGGUCGUCUACAUGAUCAUCAUCGGCGACGUGCUGUCGGGAACUACUUCGAGCGGCAAGCACCAUCACGGCGUGUUUGAAGGGUGGUUCGGCCCGAACCGCUGGAACGGCCGCUUCGCCAUCCUGCUCUUCACCACCCUCGCCGUCUUCACGCCGCUCACAUGUUUCAAGCGCGUCGAUUCACUGAAAUACACUUCUGCGUUAUCGGUGGCACUGGCCGUCGUGUUCGUGGUGAUCACCGCCGGAAUCGCCAUGAUCAAACUGACAAGAGGACAGAUCCCGAUGCCCAUGCUGUUCCCCGACGUUCACGGGACCUGGGCGUCCAUCUUCAAACUCUUCACGGCCGCUCCAGUUCUUGUCACCGCCUUCAUUUGCCACUACAAUGUGCACCCUAUCCACAACGAGCUCAAGGACCCGGCCCAGAUCAAGCCGAUCGUGCGGGCGUCGCUGGUGCUGUGCUCCGCCGUGUACGUGACCACCAGCUUCUUCGGGUUCCUCCUAUUCGGCGAGGAGACGCUGGACGACGUGCUGGCCAACUUCGACUCGGACCUCGGCAUCCCCUACGGCGGCGUCUUCAACGACGCCGUCAGGGUCAGCUACGCGCUCCACCUCAUGCUCGUCUUCCCCAUCGUCUUCCACGCGCUGCGCCUCAACAUGGACGGCCUCCUCUUCCCCUCCGCCCGGCCGCUGGCCUGCGACAACCGGAGGUUCGCGGCGCUCACGGCCGCGCUCCUCGCCGUCAUCUUCCUCGCCGCCAACUUCAUCCCCAACAUCUGGGACGCCUUCCAGUUCACCGGGGCCACCGCCGCCGUCUCCAUCGCCUACAUCUUCCCCGCCGGCAUGGCGCUGAGGGAUCGCCACGGCAUAGCGAAGAAGAGGGACAAGGUCCUGGCGUUGUUCAUGAUCGUGAUCGCGGCGGUGUCGAACGGAGUGGCCGUGUACAGCGACGCUUCCUCGUUGUGA
rnacentral:rRNA from 1 species